rnacentral:rRNA from 1 species
GAGGUAAUGGCUCACCAAGGCUACGAUCCGUAACUGGUCUGAGAGGAUGAUCAGUCACACUGGAACUGAGACACGGUCCAGACUCCUACGGGAGGCAGCAGUGGGGAAUAUUGGACAAUGGGCGAAAGCCUUGAUCCAGCCAUGCCGCGUGUGUGAAGAAGGUCUUCGGAUUGUAAAGCACUUUAAGUUGGGAGGAAGGGUACUUACCUAAUACGUGAGUAUUUUGACGUUACCGACAGAAUAAGCACCGGCUAACUCUGUGCCAGCAGCCGCGGUAAUACAGAGGGUGCAAGCGUUAAUCGGAAUUACUGGGCGUAAAGCGCGCGUAGGUGGUUUGUUAAGUUGGAUGUGAAAGCCCCGGGCUCAACCUGGGAACUGCAUCCAAAACUGGCAAGCUAGAGUAUGGUAGAGGGUGGUGGAAUUUCCUGUGUAGCGGUGAAAUGCGUAGAUAUAGGAAGGAACACCAGUGGCGAAGGCGACCACCUGGACUGAUACUGACACUGAGGUGCGAAA